rnacentral:lncRNA from 1 species
GGACUAAGAAGAUACUAAAUCAUAAAACAUGGUCAAUUCCUUUCAGUGCAAUAAGAGAAAAUCUGCAACGCGAAAGCAUUGAGGCAUCAUGAAUCAAUGUAUUGAUUCGUUCUUCUGGUACUGAUAACGAAGUCGUUGUAAGUUUUAGUUUAUUUUAUAAUAUUCAUAAUUAGUAUUUUAUAGAUCUACUCAUAGCUUAUUGCUUAUUUUAUAGAGAAACAUGUCUGAAUAUUACAAAAGUGAUGAAAUUCAAGAAUUACGUCCAAUAACGGAUGAAGAUGUAUGUUUUAAAUUAUUUUACUAUUUCAAAUUAUUUAAAUGUUUUAUUUUCUUAUAUAUUAUUUUUCGCUUUUAGGUGAUUCAACAAAAAUGCAUUUCAAAAUUUAUUCAAAGCAAAAAAGGGAG